CCCCUAGAUGUUCUGGGCCGCACGCGCGCUACACUGAACAGUUCAACAAGUCUUAACCUUGGCCGAUAGGUCUGGGUAAUCUUUGAACGCUGUUCGUGAUUGGGAUAGACUAUUGCAAUUAUUGGUCUUCAACGAGGAAUUCCUAGUAGACGUAGUUCAUCAGACUGCAUCGAUUACGUCCCUGCCCUUUGUACACACCGCCCGUCGCUCCUACCGAUUGGAUGAUCCGGUGAGCUAUUCGGACCUUCGCUUCGUCGAUUUUCGGCUUUGUGAGGGAAAGUCUCGCGAACCUUAUCAUCUAGAGGAAGGAGAAGUCGUAACA
rnacentral:rRNA from 1 species